CUGUUUUGAUCCCUUUUUCUGCAGCUUGACAUAUAGGUCAGGGUAUGUGUGUGUGCAGCAGCUCCAGAGGGACGAACGUCAAGGUAGCCACUGCUCCGUAGCUGGUCUGGGAUAUGAGUACGGCCCUUGAUUCGUGCCGCCUGUUUUCUCUGCCGAAGUCGUGGUUGCGUGGAUGUGGCAAUGGUCGAAGGGUCGUCACCAGGGUGGCACCGGCGCCUCCCUUCCCUCUCCCCUAGAUCUGGAAGGUACCGUCUCGGGCUUCCCAGAUCUGUUGGAUCAAAAAUUGUGGGUGAUGGAAUCAAAAUUUGUUGGAUCAGAAAUUGCGGUUGAUGGAAUUAAAACUUGGAUGUGAUCAAAUUAGAGAGGACAUGGCGUACUGAUUACUGAAAGGAAUCUGUGAGUUCCUGCAAGAUGCAUCUCCAACAUUUCUUGUGCAGGAACCUGCUAUUGAGUUGUUUUACUGGCUUAAUUUGGUCUCUCUGCAGCAUCCAGCAGCUCUGUAUCUGAAGAUUGUCACCAUUUCUAUAUACUAUGUACUUGUCGCUAUGUAAUAAAACUAUACAUCUAGCCGCUGCCCACGGGAUAUUCCCAGUCACCAAUCUUGGUUAUGCUCGAAUUAUGCACCAGAUAUUCCCAGUCACCAAUCUUGGUUAUCUUUCUCCUGGAACCGUUGUUAUGAACCAAUCAACUCUUUGAGAAUUAAAGAUUUGGUAGUAGCCAUCAACCAUCAUGUCUUCUGGCCUGCAGUUUGCCAACCUCGCCUGUUCGAACUUCGAACCCAAGACGCCACUGCUUCUUCUAGGUCCCGCAGCUUGAUCCCGCCAAGAGCAGGCUGGAGGAGGAAGCAGAGAGGGAGAUGGGAGAGGGAGAGGAGAUCUCGGCCUGCACACUGCACCUCGCGUCUCCCACAAGCUACAACAACAGGAGAACCGUAUACACAGCAUCCUUCUCAAAGCCUGCAGCUACUGCCUCCCCAAGCAAUGCCAACCUGCAGCAACAAGGCACCUGUUUCAUAUAAUUAUAGUUGCAACUAAUAAGGUCGUCAAUUUUACUGAGGUCCAUAAGAUAAUAAUAUCUCCAUUAAGAUGUGCAAUGAAACAUCGAAGAGGCUUACAUCCUUGUGAUUCCUCAUGACUCGGAAGGAGGAGCACGGGCCGUAGAGACGGAAGAGGAGGUUGAGACAGUCACGGCGCCUGCUGCAAUGACCACGGCCACUACAUGAAAAGAAAGACAACAAAAUCUAUUAGGCCUACUCAUGCUGGAUUGGGCUCAGCCCGAUUACAAAACAGUAGCAAAUGAGAGGAAUACAAGAAGUCAAGAAGACCCUUCUCUCCAUGUCUUAAGUUUCACACUACCUCGCCUGGAUCCGGAACUGCGGCUACAGUGACCUCAACAUAGUCUAGGUAGACACCCAGUGGUUAAGACUGUGUAGUGAGCCAUGCCUUUGUGAGAGGACCAAGAAAAGAAAGGCAUGUUGUACCUACCCUACAUUGACAGUCAUUAUUAGCCCAUUGUGGUACUUCAAAUCUGAUAAAGAAUAUAUUUCAUGUCUGAGACAUGAGAUUUGGAGUCUCGGUUCUGAUAUGUACGGACCUCCUUUUAUUUUGUCAUGUUGCUGAUAAUUCUGAUAUGGGACUAUUUGUUCUGUUUAUGUCUUAGAAAUAAUGAAAUGGCCUGUAUGUUAAGUUAUCUUAUUUUAAUUAUAUUAUGUUGUUGAUGAUGUA